rnacentral:lncRNA from 1 species
AAAAGGUUUGGCCAGCACAAGGUGCCUUCUCAUUUUCUCUUCUUCCGCCUGUACACAACCAAAAAGAUUAGAUCUGUAAAUUUAGUCUAAGUGUUAGAUUCACUUCUUUACCAAAAAAGUGUAUGACUCACGAAGUAAUUACCAUUUGAGGUUGUUAAAGAAACUAUAUUUCUGAGAUGAGAUUUUUAAGGAAAGAGCCAAGGAGUUAUAUUUAUGAAACGUCUCUGAAAAACUCAAAAAGCAGAGUUAAAACACUCAUAUCCCUUUUACCAAAAAAAAAAAAAAACACUCAUAUCAUAUAUAUAUAUAUAUAGUACCUAUAAUGAUAAUUACUAUCAAUCUUUUUGUUCUUCAUCUAUAUAGAAAGAUAGAUAGGAUAUCAAAAGAGAGAGUUGGAUUAGCAUUAACUAUGGAUUCGAAGGGGGCGUUAGUCGCUAGAUCCAUGUUUUGGUCAUUUAAGGCUAGCUUAAUGCUUUUUAAAAAGGUUGCCUAAUGCUUAAUAAUAUAUUAUGGAGAUGAAAUUUAUUAUCUUAACACAGCUCAUUGAAUACACCUAAGAGUUUAUGCAUAUUCACCAUCCAAUACUAGAGAAACAGAUUGAAUCUUCAUUUUAGAGUUAGAUGGAUUAAUAAUUCUGUAGAGGAAAAACAAAAUAUUUUAGGUUAUAUAUUGCGGAUGUGAAAAAUCCCAUAUAAUACUUGAUAAGACUCUUUCUCAAAAGCCUGACGUAUAGUUCACACAUCCAACCACAAAUGAAUUAACAAAAAUAUCAUUCACCUUUAAUACUUAUUGACGGAAAUGUCAUUAUCCACCUAUUUUCUAUUAAUUUAUAGUUGCAAAAUAACUCGAGCUAUAAUUAUCAACAUAGAGUGUUGGAAUCUUGAAACCGGUUUAAGAUUUCUCCUUGCGCCUCUGUGAUGACGAGUGGCCCCGGAGGAACCGUGGGCUGUAGCGGUGAGCAGUCCCAGUCUUUACCCUUAUUGACCACUGAGAAAUGUUUGGGAACCCAUGACUCACCAGAAGUCUCUCUCUGUUUCAGAGCCUCUCUCUGCUUCUCCUCCACAAGUAUCUUAGCUUCUCUUGCUCUUUCCCAAUCUUUCUUCAGUAUACGCUCACUUACUUCACUCCACACCAUCGUUGACUCGCUCUCCAUUACCUCCUGCAGAUUCUUGACAGUUGGAGGUUUGAGUCCUGUGAUAUUCUCCUUGGCAUUGUAGAUAACCUCGACCUCACCAGUCUUCAGAUUUUUUGCCAUUACCGUUCUGAAACAUCAUGGGGUUGUUAAUGACAUCUUUCAAAGCUUUUCAUGUUCUUAAGAGCUGUAAUGACGUUAUGAUUCCAAGUUUCUUUACCUGUCCCAAUGGCCAUAGAUGUUAUAGAGCUGAUUACCAGAGGAAGAUUCAAAGAUCUUUCCUUUAAGUGAUCUGUUGUUGUUGCCUCUGAAUCUUUCAAUGAAGGAAUCGGAGAUCAAAUGUAACUCAGCUUCGAGAUUAGUCUCCGGACACUUUAUCUUGACUUUUCCGGCCCAGUGAGCUCCCGGCGCCGGUAAGAAUCUCAUGAUUAGUCUCGGUUGGUCCAUCUCAUAAGUCUCUUUACGAUUCAGAAGCUUCAUUACUCUUUUACCCUUUACCUCAACGUCCACGUAAGUACCUUAUGGACCAUUCAAUGAGUACAUGCAGAAAUUAGAUGGUGGAACUUGGAACCAAGACGACAUGGUUCGGUUUAAAAGUGUAAACCGGAUGCAUAUUCGAAUUGGUUGUGUUCGUUUUUGGAUUAUUCAAAAUUAGACUUGGUUUUUAGGUUUGACCAAAAAAAAAAGACUUGGUUUUGAGAUGAUUUGGGAUGUAGCAGAAACAAUUUGACUGCUACAUUAAAAGGAAAAAAAUAAAUCAUAUACCACGAAAUUUAGGAGUGAAAUAUUGACACCAUGUCACGUCGAUAUUUUCUUGUUCGUGAGUCGCAUGAAGUGCGGACACCGGAGGAUGAUGCACUACCUGAAAAUUAAUUACGAUAUGUUUCGUUUAUAAUUGUAAUUUACUAUUUUAGUUAUUCACAAAAAAAUGAUUAUACUUGUUCGGCGAUGACGUUGAUGUGACCGUUGGAGACGUGGUGUGUCUCGCCGAGAACCGAGUUGUACGGAGACAUGCCAAAGACCAGCGGACGGAGUGUGGAUAUAUUCCACGUCACCACCGAUUUAAACCGUUCGAUGGGAAGGUCACGGCGGCUGCAUUCCCCAAGCAGAUCCUGACCGCCGAAGCUGUAGACCAUCUCGCCGUAACAUUGGAGUUGUGAUCUUGGUAGGUUCAGCUGAGGUGGCAGCUUUACGAUCAAAGAAAAAUAAUUAAUAAUCACGUACUAAGCUAAACGUCAUAAUCUAAAUAAAUUAAUUGGAAAAUGCCUUGAUUAGUACGAGAUAUAAAUGUUCAACUGUUUAUAGAGUUUGAUGCUGUGAUAUGUAUAAGUUACAAGUGGUGUAUAAUUAACCCAAAAAAUUAGUUGCUGGCGGAUCUACAGUGUCCAUGGUGUGGGCACGUGCCCCCAAUAGUUAAUAUCUCUCUAAGAUUUAAAAAAUAUAAAUAAAUGGGUGUAUAUAUAAAAGAAGAAAGGUUUUCUUCAAGUUAUUUGAUAUGAAGUAAUAGUUGGAGGGUUCACUUUCAUGCAUAGUGUAGUGGACCUACCUACGAAGAUAUGUAAAACACUACUAGUUAAUCCUAAAAACAUCUCUAACUCACUUAUAUUUUUGUCUAUAUAUUUUAUUAUAUAAUAAAAUCUACUCCAACCCACUUCUAUUUUCAUCUAUAAAAUAAAAAUUUCUAUUUUUUGCUAUAUAUAUAAAGUAUUUCUAUUUUUUUCUCUAUAAUAAAAUUAAAAUUUUUAGAAGAAAAAAUAAAGAAAUACAUUGAAGUAAAACUCAUCUUUAUUAUAAAAUUCCUCUAUUUUAAAAACAAAAAUAGAGAAAAAUAUUGGAGAUGGUCAAACAAAAACAAGAACCAAUUAAUAUUUUUAAUUAACAAAAAAUAUCAAUAAUUAUACACGUACAUCUUAUGAAUUAUCAUGAAUUUUAAAACCUAUGCAGCUUACAAUAAAUUUGUAACUAAUAAAUAGUACAUAGUAAGGUUGUUCUUUAUUAUAUGUAUCGUAUCAUUUUAUAAAUCAUGCAACAUAUUCAUUUAACAUUUAUAUUCUAAAAAAAUACAUUACAACAUAGAUCGUAAGAAAAAUUCCAUCUUUUGUUCUUCACAAAAAAAAAAAAUAAUAAUGUUUGUUUAGAAAAACAACAUACGCAAAUAGUCGUUCUAACACAACAAUAAUAUUACUUCACCAAGGUCAUUGAGAAGUUACACCUGAAAAUUGGUGAGAUCAGAUCCUGGACGUACGGUCUUGAAGAGGCUGAGGAUCUUGCGGAUGACAUUCGAAGCUGUGUGCUCAGAAUCUUUUUCAUCUUCCAAUGAAAAAGGUUUGGCCAGCACAAGGUGCUUUCUCAUUUCUUCUUCUGCCUUUACACACCAAAAAUAACUGAAUCGAUGUGUCAAAACUAAACACCUAAUUUCUGGUUGAAAACUGGCUCAGAUUAAUCACCAUUUCCCACGUCUUAAAACCACUAUAUUAUAGGUUCUAACAGUUAGAAUUCAGGAUUUAUAAGAAGUACGAUAAAUCUAAUUAAUUAGAGUGUACAAUAUCUAAAAAUUAUAUUAUAAAAAACCAAAAUUGUGAUAACGAAAAAAAAAAA